rnacentral:rRNA from 1 species
CUUGAACGUGCGACGCCGCGUGUGGGAUGAAGGCCUUCGGGUUGUAAACCACUGUCAGGGGCUAACAAUAAGUGCGCAAUCCACAUGAUGAGUUAAACCCCAAAGGAAGUGACAGCUAACUACGUGCCAGCAGCUGCGGUAAUACGUAGGUCGCAAACGUUGUUCGGAAUUACUGGGCUUAAAGGGCGCGUAGGCGGUUUCGUAAGUCAAGGUUGAAAUCCGGCGGCUCACCCGUCGAAGUGGCCUCGAUACUGCGGAACUAGAAUCAUGGAGGGGUGCGCGGAACUUGUGGUGGAGCGGUGAAAUGCUCAGAUAUCACAGGGAACACCGGAGGCGAAGGCGGCGCACUGGCCAUGUAUUGACGCUGAGGCGCGAAAGCCAGGGGAGCGAACGGGAUUAGAUACCCCGGUAGUCCUGGCCGUAAACGAUGCGCAUUAGGGAGAGGGAGGCACCUACCCAUUCUCUCCCCAAGGGAAACCGUUAAAUGCGCCGCCUGGGGAGUAUGCUCGCAAGGGUA